AAGUCGUAACAAGGUUUCCGUAGGUGAACCUGCGGAAGGAUCAUUAAUGAGAUCAUGCCCUUCGGGUAGGACCUCCCACCCUUUGUUUCAUCAAUUAUCCAUUUUGCUUUGCUUUUGGGCGGUGCCCCGGUCCGCAAGACAACCGGCUCCGGCUGGUCAGCGGCCGCCAGAGGACUCAAAACUCAUAUUAUCUUUGUCGUCUGAGUACUAUAUAAUAGUUAAAA
rnacentral:misc_RNA from 1 species